rnacentral:rRNA from 1 species
GUUGGUGGAGUGAUUUGUCUGGUUAAUUCCGUUAACGAACGAGACCUUAGCCUACUAACUAGUCGAUGCAAUCCCGAUUGCCUUCGACUUCUUAGAGGGACUUUGUGGCCAAACACAAGGAAGUUUGAGGCAAUAACAGGUCU